rnacentral:rRNA from 2 species
GUGGAUUAGUGGCGAACGGGUGAGUAACACGUGGGCAAUCUGCCCUGCACUCUGGGACAAGCCCUGGAAACGGGGUCUAAUACCGGAUAAUACUUUCCUCUGCAUGGGGGAGGGUUAAAAGCUCCGGCGGUGCAGGAUGAGCCCGCGGCCUAUCAGCUUGUUGGUGGGGUGAUGGCCUACCAAGGCGACGACGGGUAGCCGGCCUGAGAGGGCGACCGGCCACACUGGGACUGAGACACGGCCCAGACUCCUACGGGAGGCAGCAGUGGGGAAUAUUGCACAAUGGGCGAAAGCCUGAUGCAGCGACGCCGCGUGAGGGAUGACGGCCUUCGGGUUGUAAACCUCUUUCAGCAGGGAAGAAGCGAAAGUGACGGUACCUGCAGAAGAAGCGCCGGCUAACUACGUGCCAGCAGCCGCGGUAAUACGUAGGGCGCAAGCGUUGUCCGGAAUUAUUGGGCGUAAAGAGCUCGUAGGCGGUUUGUCACGUCGGAUGUGAAAGCCCGGGGCUUAACCCCGGGUCUGCAUUCGAUACGGGCAGACUAGAGUGUGGUAGGGGAGAUCGGAAUUCCUGGUGUAGCGGUGAAAUGCGCAGAUAUCAGAGGAACACCGGUGGCGAAGGCGGAUCUCUGGGCCAUUACUGACGCUGAGGAGCGAAAGCGUGGGGAGCGAACAGAUUAGAUACCCUGGUAGUCCA